GCCUUUGUGGUGCAAUGGUCAGCACACUCGGCGCGUAUUCGAGAGGUCUGAGGUUCGAGUCCCGGGGAGGGCA
rnacentral:tRNA from 1 species